rnacentral:rRNA from 1 species
AACGCGAAGAACCUUACCAGGUCUUGACAUCCCUCUGACCGGUCCGUAACGGGACCUUUCCUUCGGGACAGAGGAGACAGGUGGUGCAUGGUUGUCGUCAGCUCGUGUCGUGAGAUGUUGGGUUAAGUCCCGCAGCGAGCGCAACCCCUAUCCUUAGUAGCCAGCAGUUCGGCUGGGCACUCUGGGGAGACUGCCAGGGAUAACCUGGAGGAAGGCGGGGAUGACGUCAAAUCAUCAUGCCCCUUAUGAUCUGGGCUACACACGUGCUACAAUGGUGACUACAAAGGGAAGCAGCCCUGUGAAGGUGAGCAAAUCCCAAAAAGGUCAUCCCAGUUCGGAUUGUAGUCUGCAACUCGACUACAUGAAGCUGGAAUCGCUAGUAAUCGCGAAUCAGAAUGUCGCGGUGAAUACGUUCCCGGGUCUUGUACACACGC